CGGUGGAGUAUGUUGUUUAAUUCGAAGAUACACGAAGAACCUUACCAGGUCUUGACAUACCAUUGACAGGCACAGAGAUGUGCUCUCCUUCGGGCAAUGGAUACAGGUGGUGCAUGGUUGUCGUCAGCUCGUGCCGUGAGGUGUUGGGUUAAGUCCCGCAACGAGCGCAACCCUCAUUGUUAGUUACUACCAUUCAGUUGAGGACUCUAAUGAGACUGCCAACGACAAGUUGGAGGAAGGUGGGGAUGACGUCAAAUCAUCAUGCCCUUUAUGACCUGGGCUACAAACGUACUACAAUGGCCAAUACAAAGAGAUGCGAAGCGGUGACGUGGAGCGAACCUCAGAAAGUUGGUCUCAGUUCAGAUUGAAGUCUGCAACUCGACUUCAUGAAGGCGGAAUCGCUAGUAAUCGCGGGUCAGCAGACCGCGGUGAAUACGUUCCCGGGUUUU
rnacentral:rRNA from 1 species